GAUGAAGAACGUAGCGAAAUGCGAUAAGUAAUGUGAAUUGCAGAAUUCAGUGAAUCAUCGAAUCUUUGAACGCACAUUGCGCCCGUCAGUAUUCUGGCGGGCAUGCCUGUUCGAGCGUCAUUACGCCCCUCAAGUCCCCUGUGGACUUGGUGUUGGGGAUCGGCGAGGCUGGUUUUCCAGCACAGCCGUCCCUUAAAUUAAUUGGCGGUCUCGCCGUGGCCCUCCUCUGCGCAGUAGUAAAACACUCGCAACAGGAGCCCGGCGCGGUCCACUGCCGUAAAACCCCCCAACUUUUUAUAGUUGACCUCGAAUCAGGUAGGACUACCCGCUGAACUUAAGCACAUCAAUAAGCGGAGGA
rnacentral:misc_RNA from 1 species